rnacentral:rRNA from 1 species
GAGCUUGCUCCAUGAUUCAGCGGCGGACGGGUGAGUAAUGCCUAGGAAUCUGCCUGGUAGUGGGGGACAACGUUUCGAAAGGAACGCUAAUACCGCAUACGUCCUACGGGAGAAAGUGGGGGAUCUUCGGACCUCACGCUAUCAGAUGAGCCUAGGUCGGAUUAGCUAGUUGGUGAGGUAAAGGCUCACCAAGGCGACGAUCCGUAACUGGUCUGAGAGGAUGAUCAGUCACACUGGAACUGAGACACGGUCCAGACUCCUACGGGAGGCAGCAGUGGGGAAUAUUGGACAAUGGGCGAAAGCCUGAUCCAGCCAUGCCGCGUGUGUGAAGAAGGUCUUCGGAUUGUAAAGCACUUUAAGUUGGGAGGAAGGGCAGUAAGUUAAUACCUUGCUGUUUUGACGUUACCAACAGAAUAAGCACCGGCUAACUUCGUGCCAGCAGCCGCGGUAAUACGAAGGGUGCAAGCGUUAAUCGGAAUUACUGGGCGUAAAGCGCGCGUAGGUGGUUCGUUAAGUUGGAUGUGAAAGCCCCGGGCUCAACCUGGGAACUGCAUCCAAAACUGGCGAGCUAGAGUAUGGCAGAGGGUGGUGGAAUUUCCU